GGGGGCAGAAAUAGGGCUUCUAGCCCCUGGCUGGUUACAGACUCCCUUGGGGACCUUGGAGAAAGCCCUCUUCCUCUCUGGACAUGAGAGGGUAGUCUGGACAUCUGAAGGGGUUGCUUUUACAGUUUUGGGUUUGGGAUUGCUCUAGCACCCAGACUCCAUCCCCUCUUUAAUCAUGGUUUCUGUGCUUUCUCUCAGGGUAACUUCGGGGAGGCAGGGCCAGCUGGCAGUCCAGUAA
rnacentral:lncRNA from 1 species